AUACGUAGCAAUCCAUCGACCAUCGGGAGUAUUUUCUUUUUCGGUUUUGCUAUUGAUAAGUCGCCCGUUUUUUAAUUAGAGAUCAAUCGACAUGUUAGCCAUCGGAUCUUUAAUCCAACGAUAGCAAAUGAGAGACGGAAGAAUGUGGAUGAUCCUCAGAUCUUAAUCCAACGGUUUUGAAAUGCCGAUUGAUAUUUAAGUCUCGUUUCUUAAAAAACAUGCGACUUAGAAAUAGCCACACCCUUUCUUUUCUUUUUUUUGACGAAACAACCGUACCGAGCUAUCUAUUGGCAAUUUAUAGAAGAGUCGAUUGGACUUUGCACAUGAAACCGGGAAAAAAGAGGAACAAGAUAGAAGAGAAGAUCUGGUUAACAAAGUUAUAAGAUUUUAGUGAUCUGGGUGAACAGUGGUCACUCUCUUCCCUAGCUAAAACAAAAAAAUUAUUAAUCUAUGCCUAGCUAGUGGAGCAGCACUCUAGUUAGUGGGGAGCUGAGGUUUCGUGAGGGGCAAGUUAAUUAGUUCGGCAGAAGAUUCGUUGUGGGACCGGCCUGAUCGCACCGUCCCUUUCGUCCGACAAUAAAACUAGCAGUCACGAAUCUAUGGCGCACAAAAGAACAGGCCGGUUAAUUAGUUUAAUGUAAUGACUAAUCAUCAAUUAAUCAAUCAAAUGAUAUCAAAAGGUUACGU
rnacentral:lncRNA from 1 species